rnacentral:rRNA from 1 species
GAUGAACGCUGGCGGCGUGCCUAAUACAUGCAAGUCGAGCGAACAGACGAGGAGCUUGCUCCUCUGACGUUAGCGGCGGACGGGUGAGUAACACGUGGAUAACCUACCUAUAAGACUGGGAUAACUUCGGGAAACCGGAGCUAAUACCGGAUAAUAUAUUGAACCGCAUGGUUCAAUAGUGAAAGAGGGUUUUGCUGUCACUUAUAGAUGGAUCCGCGGCGCAUUGGCGAGUUGGUAAGGUAACGGCUUACCAAGGCAGCGAUGGGUAACCGACCCGGGGGGGGGUAGGCCGACACAGAGAGUGAGCCACCGUCCUGAGACCUAGGGGAGGCAGCGGCAGGGAAGCGUCGGAGAUGGGCGGAAGACUGAAGGAGCAGUGCCGGGUGGAUGAUGAAGGUCUGCGGAUCGGAAGACGCUGUUAUUGGUGAAAAACGAAUGUGUUCGUAACUAUGCACGGCUUGACGGUAGCGAGUAAGAAAGCCACGGCUAACUACGUG